UGGUAGUNCACGCCGUAAACGAUGAGUGCUAGGUGUUAGGCCCUUUCCGGGGCUUAGUGCCGGAGCUAACGCAAUAAGCACUCCGCCUGGGGAGUACGACCGCAAGGUUGAAACUCAAAGGAAUUGACGGGGGCCCGCACAAGCGGUGGAGCAUGUGGUUUAAUUCGAAGCAACGCGAAGAACCUUACCAGGUCUUGACAUCCCGAUGCUAUUCUUAGAGAUAGGAAGUUACUUCGGUACAUCGGAGACAGGUGGUGCAUGGUUGUCGUCAGCUCGUGUCGUGAGAUGUUGGGUUAAGUCCCGCAACGAGCGCAACCCUUAUUGUUAGUUGCCAUCAUUAAGUUGGGCACUCUAACGAGACUGCCGGUAAUAAACCGGAGGAAGGUGGGGAUGACGUCAAAUCAUCAUGCCCCUUAUGACCUGGGCUACACACGUGCUACAAUGGUCGGUACAACGAGUUGCGAGCCGGUGACGGCAAGCUAAUCUCUGAAAGCCGAUCUCAGUUCGGAUUGGAGGCUGCAACUCGCCUCCAUGAAGUCGGAAUCGCUAGUAAUCGCGGAUCAGCACGCCGCGGUGAAUACGUUCCCGGGCCUUGUACACACCGCCCGUCACACCACGAGAGUUUGUAACACCCGAAGUCGNUGAGGUA
rnacentral:rRNA from 1 species